rnacentral:tRNA from 1 species
GCCUGGGUGGCUCAGUGGUUGAGCAUCUGCCUUCAACUCAGUACGUGAUCCUGGAGUCCUGGGAUCAAGUCCCGUAUCAGGCU